CGCACACAUCAACACGCUUCGAAAUCAUCGGCAGCGCUGCGUAGGAUUUGUUCGAGAAUGACUCCAAAUAAGUGCGUUUUUGUUUGUGAGGGAAAGUUAACCGUGUUCAGCUUCCCCAAGAACCCAGCGUUACAUGAACAGUGGAUGCAGUUUGUUUUUCCGUGGCAACAACGGAGUGUAUCUAGUGCGUUUGUGUUUUCUGGUUAUUUGAGUGACGAAUGUUUUAUAAACAAGGCCCAAGUCGACGCUGGAUUUGCACAUCUUUUGCUAUUAAAACAUGGAGCCGUCCCUGUGAUAAAAGACCCCAUUCAUAGACAUUAGUGGGACCUUUACUUGGACAUCACCUGUGCCGUUUUAGUGUGCCAUCUACUGAGUGCAAAAAUGAGGGCAAAUGGGAAGAUACUGCUGAAGAUUAGAGGGAGACGCUUUCCUCAAGAAGUGAGUAAGAGUUCAUCAGUACAAUGCCUUACUCCUGGGCAAUCCAGAUGGGACAGGAAUGGGAGGGCACUACUCUGCACCUAAGGUUGUGAUAAUUGAAGUGAAAGCGGUGGCCUCAGGAAUGUUGCUUGACAGCUGCACAGUUUCAAGAGGGAUGUAAAUUGCCUUUGAACAUGACAGGCGGGGCAUCAUUUGCACAAGUCAUCCGUGAUGCCAAGAGCUGCGUACCUUUUCCUCCUCAGUGGGUUAGUGGUUUUAAUUAACCCCUGGCAAC